CAAUAGCGUAUAUUAAUGUUGUUGCAGUUAAAAAGCUCGUAGUUGGAUUUCUGGUGGGAGCGGCCGGUCCGCCGUAAGGUGUGUACUUGGUUGUCUCCUGUCAUCCUUGUGGGAACUGCUCUGGCAUUAAGUUGUCGGGGUUAGGGAACACAUCGUUUACUGUGAAAAAAUUAGAGUGUUUAAAGCGGGCUUAUGCCGUUGAAUACAUUAGCAUGGAAUAAUAAGAUAGGACUUUGGCGUCUAUUUUGUUGGUUUGCACACCAAGGUAAUGAUUAAUAGGGAUAGUUGGGGGUAUUCGUAUUUAAUUGUCAGAGGUGAAAUUCUUGGAUUUAUGAAAGACGAACUUCUGCGAAAGCAUUUACCAAAGAUGUUUUCAUUA
rnacentral:rRNA from 1 species